rnacentral:rRNA from 1 species
GACGAACGCUGGCGGCGUGCUUAACACAUGCAAGUCGAACGGAAAGGCCCUGCUUUUGUGGGGUGCUCGAGUGGCGAACGGGUGAGUAACACGUGAGUAACCUGCCCUUGACUUUGGGAUAACUUCAGGAAACUGGGGCUAAUACCGGAUAGGAGCUCCUGCUGCAUGGUGGGGGUUGGAAAGUUUCGGCGGUUGGGGAUGGACUCGCGGCUUAUCAGCUUGUUGGUGGGGUAGUGGCUUACCAAGGCUUUGACGGGUAGCCGGCCUGAGAGGGUGACCGGCCACAUUGGGACUGAGAUACGGCCCAGACUCCUACGGGAGGCAGCAGGGGGGAAUAUGGCAGAAUGGGGGGAAGCCUGAUGCAGCAACGCCGCGUGCGGGAUGACGGCCUUCGGGUUGUAAACCGCUUUCGCCGGUGACGAAGAGUGAGUGACGGUAAUGGGUAAAGAAGCACCGGCUAACUACGUG